rnacentral:rRNA from 1 species
UUCCGUAGGUGAACCUGCGGAAGGAUCAUUCGCACAAAGAUAUGUUCUGUUCCACCCGCCACGCACCAUACAGUGCUUUCUGUUUUGUCAUCAGGAAAUUUAAUUUCCAACUCGUCGAUGUUGCGAUCUCAUUGCAAUGUAUGCGAUGUUAUCUAUCUCUUGCGACGACGAAUGCCUUGGCUCGAGGAUCGUUGAAGGACGCAGCGAACUGUGCUAAACAUCUCGAAUUGCAGAUUUCCGAGAAAGAAAAGGAUUCUGAACGCAUUCUGCGAGUUGAACUUGUUUCAGCUCACGUGAUUGACGGUGACCGAAAUAUGCAGUCGCUCGAACUCCGAAGUUCAAGUGGUGUUCACAUGUUGUCGCAAAGUUUUGCGCCGACGUGUUCGCGGAAUUCAGCGCGUCUCUCGUUUUCGAGUUGCAUUAUGAAUUCAUUUCAUUGUGUUCGAUUUCAUUGACGUGUCUCAGUUUUUCAUUUUUUGAAAACAUUUUUUUCCGCACGCUCACGAUCAGUCACGAGAUUACCCGCUGAAUUUAAGCAUAUCAAUAAGCGGAGGAAA